UGGACUCCUGGAUCUGCCACCUUCUUCCUAAAGACCAUGAAACUCUUGCUCCUGACCCUUACUGUAUGUUUGAUCCUGUUCCAGAUACUGCCAGAGCAAUUAUUUUCCUGGCAUUUAUGGAUUCAGUUAAAGCAGUAACUUCUAUACUUCUGUCUGCAGGGGCCAAAAAUCUUGCUGGAUCAUAAAAGGACACUGCAGGAAAAACUGCAAAUCUGGUGAACAGGUGAAAAAGCCAUGUAAAAAUGGUGACUAUUGUUGCAUUCUAAGCAAGACAGAUUCUCAAC